ACUCACUCAUCUCCAAAGCAAAGACCCCAUUAUCCCGCAGGUCUCAAGGAGCAGGGAGACCCUGGGGGUGGGGGUGAGCUUCCAGAGAAGGGGUUUCCCAUGGGUUUGGCCAUGAUUUUGCUGUUGUGGAUGUUCUUAAGGGAAGGCUCAGACAAUGCGCAGCAAAGGUCGUGUUCUGCCCGGGGCCAAAGGGACCAGCCCACAGCCAACCCCGUUCCAGCCAGAGGCCAGCCCACGCCCCCACGCCUCCGCGCCUGGUGAUUUUGAAGCCAGUCCCUGAUCAGCUCCAUUCUUUGCUCAGCCAGCAGAUCUCCUGAAGGUUCUAGAUUUUCACAACUUGCCUGAUGGAAUAACAAAGACAACAGGCUUUUGCGCCACACGGCGAUCUUCCAAAGGCCCAGAUGUCGCUUACAGAGUCACCAAAGACGCGCAGCUCAGCGCACCCACCAAGCAGCUGUACCCUGACCCGGAGUGGGAAGCAGCAUUAGCUCUAAGAUGCAGCAUCCAAGUUGUCCGUGUCACCCAGUCGUGGGGCGCCACCUGUCACAGUUAAUUAAACCCUCUGGGCUUAUCUGGACGUGAUUAAUGAGCCAGUGAUAGAGAACCUCAUCGCCUUGACCCAGCCAGUUGCUCAUGGCCUGGACUGAAAUGAGCUCCUCUUUCUGAUUCAGAUGAGAAAGGGACGGGGGAUGUAAGGCAACGUCUGCAUUUCCCGAGGACUUCUCCAUCCUAACAACUGUGAAAGCCAAGAAAGGCAGCCAGGCCUUCCUGGUCUCCAUCUACAACGAGCAGGGUAUCCAGCAGAUUGGGCUGGAGCUGGGCCGCUCUCCGGUCUUCCUCUACGAGGACCACACGGGGAAGCCUGGCCCGGAAGACUACCCCCUCUUCCGGGGCAUCAACCUGUCAGAUGGCAAGUGGCACAGAAUUGCUCUCAGCGUCCACAAGAAAAACGUCACCUUGGUCCUCGACUGUAAAAAGAAGGCCACCAAAUUCCUCGACCGCAGCGACCACCCCGUGAUCGACGUCAAUGGCAUCAUCGUGUUUGGCACCCGGAUCCUGGAUGAGGAGGUGUUUGAGGUCCUCAGUCCAAGACCCGCAUCUACCCAGCCCUGCUGUCUCCUUAGCAUCCACGGGUGCUUUCUGUAAGAGCCACCUCCGCUGUCUCAGGCCACCUGUGUGGCAGCCCAGACCCCACCCUGGCAGUGCUGAGGCAGCCCCGGCAGCGGAACACCAGCGGGUGAAGGGCAGAGGCCCCUUGUCAUGUCUUUAGCUCUGCCCGCUUUGCUGAGACCUCCUCUUGCCCCUGGAAGGGACAAGGACAUUGCGCUCUGCAUGAUCUUGUGGGACUGCUGCAACCAACUGUCACAGCCCGGUGGCAAAACAGCAGAGAUUUAUCCUCUCCCAGCUCUGGGCCAGAAUUCCAAGAUCGAGGUGUGGGCGGGGCCGUGCUCCCUCUGAAGGUUCUAGUGGGGGACCCUGCCUGCCGCUUCCAGCCCCGGGUGGCCCCAGACACUCCUUGGCUUGUGGCCGCAUCACCCCAGCCUCUGCCUCCGUCUUUACACAGCCUCUCUCUUCCCCGUGUUUCUCCUCUGUGUGACCCACAAGGACACUUGUCAUUGGAUUUAGGGCCCACCCUAAUCUAGGAUGUUCUCAUUUCCAGAUCCUUCAUUCCAUCUGCAGUGAUCUUAUUUCUGGACAAGUUCACCUGUGGAUCUAGAUUCUGGGAGUUCCGACCUGGACACAUUCCUCGGGGCUGUCAUUCAGCUACUUCCCUACACCAUCGUGGAAAAGGGGUUUUUCCUCUCUUAAAUUCCCACAGAGCACGUGUGCUU
rnacentral:sRNA from 1 species